rnacentral:rRNA from 1 species
UGGGGAAUUUGGACAAUGGGCGAAGCUGAUCCAGCAAUGCCGCGUGUGUGAAGAAGGCCUUCGGGUUGUAAAGCACUUUUGUCCGGAAAGAAAUCCUUGGCUCUAAUACAGUCGGGGGAUGACGGUACCGGAAGAAUAAGCACCGGCUAACUACGUGCCAGCAGCCGCGGUAAUACGUAGGGUGCAAGCGUUAAUCGGAAUUACUGGGCGUAAAGCGUGCGCAGGCGGUUUGCUAAGACCGAUGUGAAAUCCCCGGGCUCAACCUGGGAACUGCAUUGGUGACUGGGCAGGCUAGAGUAUGGCAGAGGGGGGUAGAAUUCCACGUGUAGCAGUGAAAUGCGUAGAGAUGUGGAGGAAUACCGAUGGCGAAGGCAGCCCCCUGGGCAAUACUGACGCUCAUGCACGAAAAGCGUGGGGAGCAAACAGGAUUAGAUACCCUGGUAGUCCACGCCCUAAAACGAUGUCAACUAGUUGUUGGGGAUUCAUUUCCUUAGUAACGUAGCUAACGCGUGAAGUUGACCGCCUGGGGAGUAACGGUCGCAAGAUUAAAACUCAAAUGAAUUGACGGGAUC